AUUGAACGCUGGCGGCAUGCUUUACACAUGCAAGUCGAACGGUAACAGGUCUUCGGAUGCUGACGAGUGGCGAACGGGUGAGUAAUGUAUCGGAACGUGCCCAGUAGUGGGGGAUAACUACUCGAAAGAGUGGCUAAUACCGCAUGAGAACUGAGGUUGAAAGCGGGGGACCUUCGGGCCUCGCGCUACUGGAGCGGCCGAUAUCAGAUUAGGUAGUUGGUGGGGUAAAGGCCUACCAAGCCGACGAUCUGUAGCUGGUCUGAGAGGACGACCAGUCACACUGGGACUGAGACACGGCCCAGACUCCUACGGGAGGCAGCAGUGGGGAAUUUUGGACAAUGGGGGAAACCCUGAUCCAGCAAUGCCGCGUGUGUGACGAAGGCCUUCGGGUUGUAAAGCACUUUUGGCGGGAACGAAACGGCGCUUUCUAAUACAGAGCGCUAAUGACGGUACCCGCAGAAUAAGCACCGGCUAACUACGUG
rnacentral:rRNA from 1 species